UUUGUUUAGGGUUUGGUUUUAUGCUGUCUGGUGUUAAGACAUGUCCCAGAAAUGUGGUUUCCUGCUUUAGAAACUCACACUUGUCAAGCUGUAGCUUAAGAGGUGCUGACGCGAGAAGUGGAGUAGGUCAGAAAUGACAACACAACGUUUGACGGACAGCCUUGUCAAAAGGCACACGGAUGUGUGAAGGGGAGGGAAUGUGGCCGAAACAUUACCCGAUCAUAGUAAACGCUAACAGCUAAGCCUGUGGAGCAGUGAGGACUGCUGACUGACGAACGAGAGGUGAGAGGCUUACCAAGAUCCCACGAUCAAAAUACGACGAGCUUACGCUAGCAACCUAGCCCUUAUCCAGGACACGGGCAUUUACACGCCGACGCUUUAGCGGAAGUGGCUGCCAAAAACCAACUCGUAGAAGUUUAUCUGUAUCAGCCAAUUCAGGGACUGAGCAACCAGUUGACAGCAACACAUGUCGCGCCCACCUUAGCCGUGGCCCCCGAAAUUAGAGCCUACGAUCCCAAAGACAUAACUAAUAAUCCUCAAUGUAGCGCGACUUUAGACGCCGUUAAAUAUCUGGCUGAAUUUACAGAGUCACAGGACUCAUACGUUUCUUGGCGGCAUGCGGCAAUAGCUGCGUAUCAGCUCCUAGCACCAACACAUAAUACACUAAAACACUUGUAUUUACCCCAAUGCCACAGACUAUUAGUUAAAAAGAAAACUACUUAAAAAACAAUGCCAUUCAUUAAAAACAAACAAACAUUUUAUCAAUAUACCAAGAACAGUUUGGACACGCAUCACGCCUUUUACUGAUAAAAAUAAGGAGGAAUAAAAAUAAAAAAUUACGUAUCUUUAACUAUCUGAUACCAAAGACACUAGAAUAAUAA